rnacentral:rRNA from 1 species
GAUGAACGCUGGCGGCGUGCUUAACACAUGCAAGUCGAACGGUGAAGCAGGAGCUUGCUCUUGUGGAUCAGUGGCGAACGGGUGAGUAACACGUGAGCAACCUGCCCCUGACUCUGGGAUAAGCGCUGGAAACGGCGUCUAAUACUGGAUAUGUGAUGUGACCGCAUGGUCUGACUCUGGAAAGAAUUUCGGUUGGGGAUGGGCUCGCGGCCUAUCAGCUUGUUGGUGAGGUAAUGGCUCACCAAGGCGUCGACGGGUAGCCGGCCUGAGAGGGUGACCGGCCACACUGGGACUGAGACACGGCCCAGACUCCUACGGGAGGCAGCAGUGGGGAAUAUUGCACAAUGGGCGGAAGCCUGAUGCAGCAACGCCGCGUGAGGGAUGACGGCCUUCGGGUUGUAAACCUCUUUUAGCAGGGAAGAAGCGAAAGUGACGGUACCUGCAGAAAAAGCACCGGCUAACUACGUGCCAGCAGCCGCCGUAA